GCAUUUAAUUCCAGUGGGUUGGAAGGAUGUAUUCUUCCAAACUUCUUUUCUCUGAGGAAUUGUCGAGAUCCUUCAUAUUUUUCUUAUGAGUUUUAUUCUGGAGCUUUCAUUUUGACAAUGUAUCUUUGAUUUCUAAAUCAUGGAAUUUCUUUAUCUUAGAUAUCUCUGUCUUGGACUUCUUUAUAUGGAUUUUUCUUACCAUAUUUAUUCUGUAAAUUAUUAAUCAUGGUUCGUACCUAAAGUGUAUCCUUU
rnacentral:lncRNA from 1 species